UAAUAAGUGUUUUAUGGCACUUUUAAAAAUCCAUAUCCACCUUGUGUGAAAUGUCUGUCGCUUGUUAGCUUUUUUUCCUUUUUGGAAAGAAACAUAGCGACUCAACAUCAACUCAUUUUAAAUACUUUGUCUGAAAACUAUUAUGAAUAAACUAAUUCAAAAUA
rnacentral:misc_RNA from 1 species